UACGGAGGGUGCAAACGUUGCUCGGAAUUACUGGGCGUAAAGGGCGCGUAGGCGGCACUGUUAGUCAGGCGUGAAAGUCCUGGGCUCAACCUGGGAACUGCGCUUGAUACGGCAGAGCUAGAGGAUGGAAGAGGCUCGCGGAAUUCCCAGUGUAGAGGUGAAAUUCGUAGAUAUUGGGAAGAACACCGGUGGCGAAGGCGGCGAGCUGGUCCAUUACUGACGCUGAGGCGCGACAGCGUGGGGAGCAAACAGG
rnacentral:rRNA from 1 species